NAUCAGUUUAAUAUCUGAUACGUCCCCUACCCGGGGACCAUAUAUUAAAUUGAUUUUUGGAGCAGGGAGAUGGAAUAGGGGCUUGCUCCGUCCACUCCACGCAUCGACCUGGUAUUGCAGUACCUCCAGGACCGGUGC
rnacentral:snRNA from 1 species